CCCGACGAAGAGGUCAGUCUUUAAUCUUCCAUCCUUCAACCCUAACUGAUCCUUCAACCCUAACUGAUACCCAGCAAUAGAAGCAAACGAUGCAGAGUACAUGAGUCAAACAUUCAUGAGGAUGGAUAAAGAUGGCCUUCCAUUUUCCUGAUUUUCACUUUUUCGCAUUAGGAAAUUGAUUUCUCUCGAUUUUAGAAUAGAAGAAGUUCUUGUUCCGCUCGUGCCAGCAAUUGUAUGUCAUGUUAGAGUUGAUGUAUCUCAUCUUGAACGAGUCCUAAUGCGACCCUUCAAAACAACACCCCAUUGCACUUCUAUCUCAUCCAAUUAUGUAUGAUGGCCAGCCUGAGCAUCUGACCAGAGCUCUCUUUUUCCUAUUUUCUCACACGUUAGUCGAGGUGUGCGCAAGCUGGGCCAAACAUUUGGUUGUCAAAAAGAAACAAUAAAAUUGGAGAAAAUAAAACAGCCCCUAGAUAUAAUUAAGCAGAGCUAUUGAGGCUCUCUCUCUCUCUCUCUCUCUCUCUCUCUCUCUCUCUGUGGAGCAUCUUUAUUCAAAAACUUCUUUUGCUGCUUUUAUGCAUGACAGGGAGACCUUUGGCAGAAUAAAAUUUGGUUCCUUGUGUCUGCUUGUCUUCAGUUACGUGAAUUGCCUUUAAACAAAAGUGAGUGUCUCCUAUCUGUAGUUAGAGCUCUGGUGUAUUUUUUGAAAAAGAUAAAAUCCAUUGUGGUUAAUUUUUUGUGGAAAGGAGGGGUGAAAUCGGGUAUCAUAUGGAAAAGGUGGAAUGUAUGCUGUCAACCCAAAAGCUUAGGGGGUCUUGGAUUAUGCGAUUUAGCUUGUUUCAAUCAAGCUCUUCUUGCAAAAGUAGCUUGGCGAAUUUUGAAGGAACCUGACUCCCUCUUAGCAUCAGUUCUUUUGGGUAAGUAUAGUCAAAUGAGUGACUUCCUUGAUAACCCAAGUGAACUCUUUGGCUCCUUGGGGUUGGAGUAGUGUUUAUGUAAGGAAAAGAUCUUCUGAUCGAGGGCUUAAAGUGGAGAAUCGGUAAUGGGAAUGGAAUCAGAGUUCUCAAAGACCAACGGAUUCCUAAGGUUUGCAAAUCUUUGUUGGGCGUGACUUUAAGCAUGUUUUCUCAGACUUCAAAGUAAAGGGUCUGUUUGAUGGUUCUUCUAAGCAAUGGGGGGCUCCACUAGUAAAGACUCUUUUCCCGGAAGAGAUAGCUCGGCAACUCUUAGCUCUGUACUUGCGUCUUGAAAGUGCUCAGGAUUCUCGGUCAAAACAGCAUAUUUCCAUCAGUUCUAUAUCAAAUUCUUGGAGGAUCUUCAGAGGAGGCAGAAUGCGUUCAGUUCUUGGGGGUAAAGUCUGGGCUCUUGGCUUUCCUCCAAAAUUUAUGCUUUUUAUCUGGAAGGUAGUGCAUGGUAUUCUGGCAGUAAAAGAUGUUUUGAGAAGAAGAUCAAUGGAUAUAGACUUGGAGUGCCCACUGUGCAAGACUGAGGUGGAAACGAUGGAACACCUGUUCUUCAAAUGUGGUUUUUCAAAGCGAUUAUGGAGAGCGUCCCAUCUGGGAUUUGAUUUUGACAGUGGAAGGCCUGUCCCAGUCGAGGAGUGGCUGGAAGGAUGGAUUAGGGAGGCCCCUAUAUAAAAGUGAUGUGGGAUUCAGUAUGCUUAUUGUGGUUCAUCCGUGCAGUCCCGAUGAUAUGGCCUUUCGAGGGGAAUUGGCUAGUUUGGAUGAUGCUAUGGCCAGAUUUGCAGCCUUGCAACUUAAAUUCAAUCCAGAAAAGAAGCGGCAAGCAGAGAUUAGAGAGGUUUGGGUGUCUUAAGGGGAAACAAUUAGGGAGGGAAUCAGAGAUCUCCUAUACCUUCAACUCUGUGGAUGAGGAGGUGGAUUUGACUGGAGCAUGACACUUCGUCACGGAUGGAUGAGGCUUGGGGUGCAGAAUCAAUGCGCGGAGCUGCUGCUUGAGUUACAAAGAAGAGUCAAGGCAUAGACGCUGCUCAGCAAGUGGCGGAGAUGCCUGUUCAGCAACUUUGGUGGAAAUUAGAGCUGGCAUCAUGGCUCUGCAGUGGGCAAAGGAGAAUUAAAAGAGGGUUGAAGGUCUGUAUCUGCACAGAUAGCUUGGAGUUUGUCAAAGGGCUUCUCGAGUGGUCAGCUGCUUCCACUUUGCUUUGCCAUGCUCUUUUGGAUUUUGUUCAAUUAUGUUAUCAGUAUAUGUUGUAAAAGUUAUCAAUUUUCCUAGAACGGAUGUUUGUUGCUGCUGCUCAUGGUAUAGCUAGGGCAGCCUUGAACAAGGUGUAAUGUUUUGAUUUAUCUAUGGAUUUUGCAUGCUUUCAAAA